ensembl:scaRNA small Cajal body-specific RNA 16
GAGGGCCUGGGGAUGGCUGCUGGCGGCUGUGUCUCAGCCUAGUGCCUGCUGGCCUCACCCGUGCCCCAGAUCAACCCCCAGAGGUUCCCCUGCUGGGUUCCUCCUAUGCAGUAACAGGUGUGAGCAUCCAUGCAGCAUUCUGAUGGUCAUGUAUGAUACUGCACACAACG